rnacentral:rRNA from 1 species
GACAGAGGGUGCAAACGUUGUUCGGAAUUAUUGGGCGUAAAGCGCACGUAGGCGGCUAUCUAAGUCGGAUGUGAAAUCCCUCGGCUUAACCAAGGAAGUGCACCCGAAACUGGAUAGCUUGAGUACAGAAGAGGAUCGCGGAAUUCCCGGUGUAGAGGUGAAAUUCGUAGAUAUCGGGAGGAACACCAGUGGCGAAGGCGGCGAUCUGGGCUGAUACUGACGCUGAGGUGCGAAAACGUGGGGAGCAAACAGG